GGCUCAGAACGAACGCUGGCGGCGCGCCUAAUACAUGCAAGUCGAGCGAGAAGGUGUAGCAAUACACUUGUAAAGCGGCGAACGGGUGAGGAAUACAUGGGUAAUCUACCAUCGAGUGGGGAAUAACCAGCCGAAAGGUUGGCUAAUACCGCGUACGCUUCCGAGUCUUCGGGCUUGGAAGGAAAGCCGCACUGUGAGUGCGGCGCUCUUUGAUGAGCUCAUGUCCUAUCAGCUUGUUGGUAGGGUAACGGCCUACCAAGGCUUUGACGGGUAGCUGGUCUGAGAGGACGAUCAGCCACACUGGCACUGCGACACGGGCCAGACUCCUACGGGAGGCAGCAGUAAGGAAUAUUGCGCAAUGGGCGAAAGCCUGACGCAGCGACGCCGCGUGGGGGAUGAAGGUCUUCGGAUUGUAAACCCCUUUCGGGAGGGAAGAUGGAGCGAGCAAUCGUUCGGACGGUACCUCCAGAAGCAGCCACGGCCAACUUCGUG
rnacentral:rRNA from 1 species